rnacentral:rRNA from 1 species
AUGAUUAAGUCAAUUAAUACAUCAGAUGAGUGGUACUACAUAGGAUGCCGCAAAUGCAACAAAAAGGUACAGAAACAAGGGAACCACUUCUACUAUCCGAAAUGUCAAAAAGAACCUGAAAAGAUAUGUCCAAGGUACAAACUGAAACUAGAGAUAUGUGAUCUCAGUGCAACAACAACUUGCACCAUGUUUGAGGCAGAAGCAAAAAAAUUGAUUAAGCAAUCUGCAAGUUUUUUGAUAGAGAGGGAUGAUUGUGAUAUCCAUGAACAGACAAAACAAAUCCAGAAAAUAUGUGGGCAGAGAUUGAUUUUUCAAUUCAGAUUGAAUGACUAUAAUUUGAAGUACGGUUAUCAAGAAUACACUGUUCAUAGAAUCUUUUUCAUAGAUUCUGAAAAAGAUACAUCAGUACAUCAUUCAAAUAUUGAGCAGGAGCAAGCGGACAAGUUAUCAGUUAUGAAAACUAUAAAGCAAGAACCAGAGGAUGAUGAACCCACUAUUAACCGGACUAAAAGGGGCCCCAAGAGGAAACGCGCCGUAACUCGCAAAUGUGCUGGUAUUGAUAGCAAACAAGUAAACAAUCACCAUGAAGAAGAAUCAAAACAGGCAGGUACUCAGGAGCACAAUGAUUCAAGGCCUAGGACAAGGCGUAGUUGUGCCAAUAAAGAAUUGAUGAACAAAGACAUUCAGAAGUGUGGUGUAUCAAGAACUCAAAAGUCAAAUCGUUGA